rnacentral:siRNA from 1 species
AUAGUAUAUCAUGAGUCUACGGGA